AGCGCUCAGUACCAGGAGUGGUGUGAGCAGAACCAGUCCCUCCAGGGCUAAGCAGAAUGGGUCCCUCCAGCAUCCCUGAGCCUCCAGCAUCCGAGCCGCUCAGCACCCAGAAGAGCUGAUCAUUAAACAUUUACCAGCACAUCUCUGAUGAAGGCAUUGAGGAUGGGUGAAAUUUCUGGAAGACUGUGAGCUUGGUGGGUCUCUACCCUGGCUGCACGUGAGGGUCACCUGAGGAGCUCUUAGCAAAUCCCAACACUCAAACACCACUCCAGACGGAUUGAAUCAGAAACCGGAGGAAGCAGAGGAAUGGGGGCAGUGAGCUAGAGAGGGUCCCGGGGUCACAGGAGAAGACUGCCCGCCAGAGUGUGUUAGCCGGCGAACCGAAUGCCCUUUGACUGGGAGGUGCUGCUGACGCUGACGAGAGAGAAGAGACAAAGUCCAUGGAUGACCAAGGAGUGAGGUCCAGAGGCCACACGGCAGGAGAAGAGCCAGCCAGGCGUCGGGGUGCGGCGAACGGAGGCCCUGCCGGGAGUCCCAGCAGUUCACAUCUCAGUGAGCAGCUGACGGCACCGCUCGCUCGGCUGCCCCAGCCGGGCCACCAGCCCUGCGAGAGACACAUGCGCAGACCCGUCCUCAAGGACGCAGCCCUGUAAUUACCCUCAGCUGCCAGCAAACAGCAUCCACUGAAAUGAUAAGCAGACGGUGGAGGCCGGCCCCUCCCGGGGCUGCUCCAGGCGGCAUCCCGCAGACACCUCGGUGGUACGUGCUGUCCGCUGACAUCAGCAGCUUCCUGCCUGUAACAGAAGCCCUGACUCAGGGAGAAGAAGCCCUUCCCAAAGAAACCCAAGCUCCAGCCGCCCCCUGCCAGCCAGCCAGGCUCCUAGGCUGCUGGAAAACUGCUGUGUCCCGGGUGGAGUGAGCCCAGCAGACAGAGGACACAUAAUUAAUGUGACCUUCCAGAUGCAGAGACCCAGUGUGACAGCCUCACGGGUGCCUGUGAAGGCCACCGCCCACCAGGCCUGAUCUCAUUUUCUAAGUCAACCCAGGUGGACCUCCCUGGAGGAUGUGGGUUGGAGGCUGUGCCCUCUGUCCGCGCUUGCUUUGGUCCAGAGGAAGCCCCCUCGCCAAGCCUGAUGCCAGGUUUGACCCCACUGGGCAUACAAAUGACUACACGACCACUGACACUGGGUCCAGACACUGGUGCUGCCUCAGGUCCCCAGGGCUGCGAGGGACACGAGCCAGGGAAGUGACACCCGGCUCCAAGAGGCCCGGUUCCAGAGGGCUUUGCUCAGUGAGGUUUUGGAAGGUGUCACAGCUUGCCUUGGAGACGCUGUCAGUGCAGUGCCACGAGCCACACGUGGCGUUCGAACGCUCAAACGCAGCGAGCGCCAGUGGACAGCUGCCCAACGUGCAAAAUCCACACGAGAUUUCCAAGACGGAGAACAAUGAAAAUCAGGAAACUUAAAAUUACAGAUGCGUUUCACAUGAUGCUUCCACGGGAUAGCACUGCCCUAGACCCUCAGGAUAAAUGGACAAGCCCACUGGCCCCCCAGCUCCUGUGAUGACGUCAG